AUUGAAAAAAAAAUGUGAUUUGUUUUCACCAUCAUUCUAUCAUUAGAAUACUGGAUCCAAAUAACCAUUUCAUCCAUUUCACAAAUUGUAUCACCAAAAACCACACAGUCAUCAAGGCCUUAUCCGUGUUUGUUUGUUUGUUUGUUUGUGUCUACCUGUUGCAGAGUUGGCAAGUUUGAGAAACAAAGGAAAGCAUGCUGGGAGAGGAUCAGAGAUGUUCAUGUUCUGCGGAGCAGGCUCAUCCUCUGUGUCAUCAGAAAUAUGGGUGAUGUCACAUUUCCUGACUCUUUGCUCGCUGUCACCUCUGAAGUUCUCUUCGGAGCCAUUUCACAAGUUUUAUGGCUGUGUACAAGCAGUGAUGACUUUCGCUAACGACAGCUGGCCAACGCUGAUUAUCAGAUGUAUUCUGAUUUCAGAAAUACCAAAAUGCACCUGGUUGUUCAGAAGAACUGAAGGAAAUAAUUGUAAAUGUAAAUAAGCGAUGAAUCACUGCAGAUGAAAUUUAUCAGGGAAUAUGGGCAUUGCUCUGUUCAGGGAAGAAGGAGACGCUCUGGAAAGUCGGCGCUGUGCAAGGCUGUAUCUAUACCAUUUGGAAAGCCUUUGCAGAACACUUGGUAAUUAAAUCUGCCCUCAGCUGGGAAAUGAUGCCCCAGGUUGUCUUGCCGGUAGGUAAAAGGUAAGUGCUCUCACCAUACCUGUGUUUUAGGAUCUCUGCUGUGAAGCAGCUGAGUUAUCUGGGACACUAGCCGUGAGGCUGUAUAGUCUAUACGUUAAUAUGGGUACGUGUUACAGCUAAGAAACAGGCAGGAUUCCUCUUCCUACACUCACCACAACUGGGUCUUGGUUGGCGUUUGGGUCUCCGCUCAGCGGCUUCCCCUCCCUGUCGAGUCCUUCUCUUCCACAUAAGCUCACUCUAAAUCAUCACAUUCCCCCCCCCUUUUUUUUUUUAAAUUUCACAAUCAUUGUCUGAAAGGAUUAUCUUCAUCGGUUUGCUGGUUUGUGGAUGCCCGUGCCUGGCAGUAAAGAAACUCCUUGAGCGCAGGAUGCUAUUUGUUCCCUCCACCCCUGAUUCUCCAGCUUCUGGAAGCAGUGCCCGGCGCAGUGUAAGUCUUCUGAGAGUGGUGCUUGGUUGGACACCUGAAUGUGUGAGCAAACGACUGACUGAAUGAACGAAAGAACAAAUAAAUGAAUGCAGGCUGUUGACUACAAUAUAGUUCCAAAGAGAGUUCUAGAACCCCGGAUCCCUCACAGGCUUGGUGUAAGACAGGAACAUACGUAGAGUCUAAGGUGUCACCUACGUCUGUCAGCAAUCAUCUGUACAAUUGAAAGAAACCCCCUCACCUUCUGGCACAGCAUCUGACAUAUUACACUGUUGAAGGUUCCUUAAGGGAGAGGUCUUGGGGAGAUGACCUGGUGUUCAAUUCAUUCCAACAAGGAAAUGGGGGGAUAUACUAGCGAGGUCCUCUCAGGGUCCCCUGGGGAUAGACCCGCCAUCACACAUUACCUGGAUGGACAGGGCCCCUUCGUCCAGUGUGGGUGUUCUAGUAUUAGCUUGAAGUUCCUCCACAAAGACUCUUUCCUUGGACAAAGAAAAGUAUUUUAC
ensembl:lincRNA